UUUCCUUUCUAGAGCUAAAAAGCCAGAACAUCAAGAUAUACCAGUGUGAGAAAAAUGGUUAAACGUCAAUGUGUCAGUGGUGCAAGAUUCUAGGAAAUAACAGUAAGUGAGGAGCCAGCACAAAGAGAAGUGGAAGAAACCAUUGUUUGUUCUGUUGUUAAUAUUGUUUGGAGUUUUUCUUUUUGACACGUUUUUACUCUGUAGUAUGGACUAGCCUGGAACUCAUAUGCAACUCAGACUUGUCUUGAACUUGUUACCAUCCUAGUGCUUCAGUCUCUUAUGCGCUGGGACUACAGCAACCUUCUCAGGCUGGACUUAAAAGAAGACAGAAGCUGUGAAUUUGCCAGAGAUCAUGGAGAGACUAUCUACAGCCAUUCCUUCCUUCCUGUAUGAGAACAAUUUUUAAGAAUACUAGAG
rnacentral:lncRNA from 14 species